rnacentral:rRNA from 1 species
GGGAGCUUGCUCCCUGAUGUUAGCGGCGGACGGGUGAGUAACACGUGGGUAACCUGCCUGUAAGACUGGGAUAACUCCGGGAAACCGGGGCUAAUACCGGAUGCUUGUUUGAACCGCAUGGUUCAAACAUAAAAGGUGGCUUCGGCUACCACUUACAGAUGGACCCGCGGCGCAUUAGCUAGUUGGUGAGGUAACGGCUCACCAAGGCAACGAUGCGUAGCCGACCUGAGAGGGUGAUCGGCCACACUGGGACUGAGACACGGCCCAGACUCCUACGGGAGGCAGCAGUAGGGAAUCUUCCGCAAUGGACGAAAGUCUGACGGAGCAACGCCGCGUGAGUGAUGAAGGUUUUCGGAUCGUAAAGCUCUGUUGUUAGGGAAGAACAAGUACCGUUCGAAUAGGGCGGUACCUUGACGGUACCUAACCAG